rnacentral:rRNA from 1 species
GAUGAACGCUGGCGGCGUGCUUAACACAUGCAAGUCGAACGGAAAGGCUCCUGCUUGCAGGGGUACUCGAGUGGCGAACGGGUGAGUAACACGUGGGUGAUCUGCCCUGCACUUCGGGAUAAGCCUGGGAAACUGGGUCUAAUACCGGAUAGGACGAUGGUUUGGAUGCCAUUGUGGAAAGUUUUUUCGGUGUGGGAUGAGCUCGCGGCCUAUCAGCUUGUUGGGGGGGUAAUGGCCUCAAAGGCGUCGACGGGUAGCCGGCCGGGGGGGGUGUAGGGCAAAGUGGGGACGGGGUAAGGCCCAGACCCCCAAGGGGGGGAGGAGUGGGGAAUAUUGCACAAUGGGCGGAAGCCCGAAGGAGGAACGCCGGGGGGGGGAAGACGGCCUUUGGGGUUUAAACCGCCUUCGCCUGGGACGAAGCGGGAGGGACGGGAACGGGUAAAGAAGCCCCGGCUAACUACGUG